GUGAGGAAUAUUGGACAAUGGGCGCAAGCCUGAUCCAGCCAUGCCGCGUGCAGGAAGACGCAUCUAUGGUGUGUAAACUGCUUUUGUACGGGAAGAAACACUCCCUCGUGAGGGAGCUUGACGGUACCGUAAGAAUAAGGAUCGGCUAACUCCGUGCCAGCAGCCGCGGUAAUACGGAGGAUCCAAGCGUUAUCCGGAAUCAUUGGGUUUAAAGGGUCCGUAGGCGGUUUAAUAAGUCAGUGGUGAAAGCCCAUCGCUCAACGAUGGAACGGCCAUUGAUACUGCUAGACUUGAAUUACAAGGAAGUAACUAGAAUAUGUAGUGUAGCGGUGAAAUGCUUAGAUAUUACAUGGAAUACCAAUUGCGAAGGCAGGUUACUACUUGUGGAUUGACGCUGAUGGACGAAAGCGUGGGGAGCGAACAGGAUUAGAAACCCUGGUAGUCC
rnacentral:rRNA from 1 species